rnacentral:lncRNA from 1 species
AUUUAAUAAAUUGUUUACUAAACUUUUUUUUCCCUUCCAAUUUUAUGUUAUACCGCACAAGUAAUAAAUUUAACGAAAACUUGGGAAAAUAUUUAAUAAAUUUGAGACAAUUGAAUGUAAUAUAUAAAUACUAUAAAAGUACGAUUUUCUAAUAUAAUAUUAUAAACAAAAACACGGACUAUGAUCAUUCUAUGAACGUGUACGGGUAACAGCAACGAUUCGAUUUCGAUGUGUUGCUAUUGGGAUCCAUGUAAAAAAGUUGUUACGUUCCCAAUGAAUCAUCGUCGUCACAUCAACAUCCUAAACUAUAUUCAAUCAACAUAUAUCUAUUGACGCGUAUAUGUUAUAUAUUAUCAAUAAAUUAGAAUUAAGCAACAAUUGAAUUAAUUAAUGGACCUCUGUUUAAUUGUUUGGGCAACGAUGGCGAAAAAGCAAAAGAGCAUCCAUGGCUCCACCCUAGAGUUUGAACGAAGACAAAACGAAACGAAAUUUCAAAGGUGGGGAGACAAUCAAGCAAACGUGGACCCAUUAUUAUUAUUAUUAUUAUUAGGAAAGAAAUAAGGCCCAUUUUAAUUCAUUUAUUUUUGUUGCUGGCCCUGCCUGAUCCCUGCACAUGCAGCCGUAGCAAAGAGCCCCCACAAGGCUUUUACGGUUGGGAAGUUGAUGCCGUAAUUAAAGAAUCAAAAGUGGGAAAUGCUUGGGCAUAGCCCACAGAUUUAGCUUUUGUAUAAUUGGAGUAAUAAUGUCACAUUUCAUGAAAGAAUUGUGAAUUUAGUUGCAUGAUAUAUAGUAGAGUAUUUUUACAAUAAUAUGUUUGUAAAGAAUUAGUUAAAAUAUAACAAAAAAACAUAUUUUAAUACGUUAAAGAUAAAAUACACUACAAUAGAGAAUGUGUUUUUUUCAGUCUAUUUUUUUAUUUUUCCCUUUAAUUGAUUCCUUUAUUAAAAUUACUCUAUAUUUAUAUAUUCACAUUGAUUUAGGUUGUUUAACUCUAAGGUUGCGUUUGUUUUUUUAUCUGAAAUUUGAAUAAAUCUGAAUUUAUCUGAAGUCUGAAUGAAAAUGUCUAAAUGCCAAGUUUAUUUUUUUUUCUUUUUCAACAUCUAAAAAAAAAAUUAAAAACUAGUAGUUUGACAUAAAUAUUAUUUUAAGUGGUGUAUAUAUUUGUUCUUCACAAAAUAUAAUUUUCACAAGUGAUUAGUUUGGUAGCAUUAAAAAAAAUACUAUCAUUGUUGAUCUUAAUUUUAAUUUUGUAAUAAAAAAUGUAAUUAUAACAUCAACUUUUAUUAUAAAGUCAAUACUGUUUUUUAUUUAUCACAAUGAACAUAAUUUGAUCUGUUCAAUAUUUCAGUUUAAUUAAUGUUAUCAUGUGAAUAAAAAUUUAAAGCAAUUAAAAAACACUUCAAGAAUGAUACAAAAAUAUUAUGUUUAUACAUAAUAUUGGAAAUAUAUGAAUUGUUAAGGUUAUUUUUUAGAUUUGAAAUUAAAAUUUCCCAUUUAAACUUCAAACUUAAGAUAAAAGCGGAUUUUUGCUAUUCAGAUAAAAUUGUCUGACAAUA